GAUGAACGCUGGCGGCGUGCCUAAUACAUGCAAGUCGAGCGAACAGACGAGGAGCUUGCUCCUCUGACGUUAGCGGCGGACGGGUGAGUAACACGUGGAUAACCUACCUAUAAGACUGGGAUAACUUCGGGAAACCGGAGCUAAUACCGGAUAAUAUAUUGAACCGCAUGGUUCAAUAGUGAAAGACGGUUUUGCUGUCACUUAUAGAUGGAUCCGCGCCGCAUUAGCUAGUUGGUAAGGUAACGGCUUACCAAGGCAACGAUGCGUAGCCGACCUGAGAGGGUGAUCGGCCACACUGGAACUGAGACACGGUCCAGACUCCUACGGGAGGCAGCAGUAGGGAAUCUUCCGCAAUGGGCGAAAGCCUGACGGAGCAACGCCGCGUGAGUGAUGAAGGUCUUCGGAUCGUAAAGCUCUGUUAUUAGGGAAGAACAAAUGUGUAAGUAACUAUGCACGUCUUGACGGUACCUAAACAGAAAGCCACGGCUAACUACGUG
rnacentral:rRNA from 1 species